rnacentral:sRNA from 1 species
AUUUUUCAUUGACCCUCCCUGCGCUUCUAUCCACUGGGUAAGGCGCUUGCCUUUACU